rnacentral:rRNA from 1 species
AUGAACGCUGGCGGCGUGCCUAAUACAUGCCAGUCGAGCGAACAGACGAGGAGCUUGCUCCUCUGACGUUAGCGGCGGACGGGUGAGUAACACGUGGAUAACCUACCUAUAAGACUGGGAUAACUUCGGGAAACCGGAGCUAAUACCGGAUAAUAUAUUGAACCGCAUGGUUCAAUAGUGAAAGACGGUUUUGCUGUCACUUAUAGAUGGAUCCGCGCCGCAUUAGCUUGUUGGUAAGGUAACGGCUUACCAAGGCGACGAUGCGUAGCCGAACUGAGAGGGUGUUCUCCGACACUGGAACUGAGACACGGUCCAGACUCCUACGGGAGGCAGCAGUAGGGAAUCUUCCGCAAUGGGCGAAAGCCUGACGGAGCAACGCCGCGUGAGUGAUGAAGGUCUUCGGAUCGUAAAACUCUGUUAUUAGGGAAGAACAAAUGUGUAAGUAACUAUGCACGUCUUGACGGUACCUAAUCAGAAAGCCACGGCUAACUACGUG